rnacentral:rRNA from 1 species
AUUGAACGCUGGCGGCAGGCCUAACACAUGCAAGUCGAGCGGAUGAAGGGAGCUUGCUCCUGGAUUCAGCGGCGGACGGGUGAGUAAUGCCUAGGAAUCUGCCUGUUAGUGGGGGAUAACGUCCGGAAACGGGCGCUAAUACCGCAUACGUCCUGAGGGAGAAAGGGGGGGAUCUUCGGACCUCACGCUAUCAGAUGAGCGUAGGUCGGGUUAGCUAGUUGGUGGGGUAAGGCCUACCAAGGCGACGAUCCGUAGCUGGUCUGAGUGGAUGGUCAGUCACACUGGAACUGAGACACAGUCCGGGCACCUACGUGAGGCAGCAGUGGGGAAUAUUGGACAAUGGUCGCAAGCCUGGUCCAGCCAUACCGCGUGGGUGAAGAAGGCCUUCGGGUUGUAAAGCCCUUUUGUAGGGAAAGAAAAGCAGCAGGUUAAUACCCCGCUGUACUGACGCUACCAAAAGAAUAAGCACCGGCUAACUUCGUG